rnacentral:tRNA from 1 species
GGAAGAGUGGCCGAGUGGUUGAAGGCGCACGCUUGGAAAGCGUGUAGGGGCAGCAAUGUUUCUCACAGGUUCGAAUCCUGCCUCUUCCGCCA